UGCAAGUCGAGGGGUAACAGGAAGUGCUUGCACUUCGCUGACGACCGGCGCACGGGUGAGUACCGCGUAUACAAUCUGCCUCAUACUAGGGGAUAGCCCGAAGAAAUUUGGAUUAAUACCCUAUAGUAUCUUUUUAAGGCAUCUUAUUAAGAUUAAAGGUUACGGUAUGAGAUGAGUAUGCGUUCUAUUAGCUAGUAGGUGUGGUAACGGCACACCUAGGCUACGAUAGAUAGGGGCCCUGAGAGGGGGAUCCCCCACACUGGUACUGAGACACAGACCAGACUCCUACGGGAGGCAGCAGUGAGGAAUAUUGGACAAUGGGCGAAAGCCUGAUCCAGCCAUGCCGCGUGCAGGAUGACUGCCCUAUGGGUUGUAAACUGCUUUUAUAUAGGAAGAAAAACUUUCUCGUGAGAAAGCUUGACGGUACUAUAAGAAUAAGGAUCGGCUAACUCCGUGCCAGCAGCCGCGGUAAUACGGAGGAUCCAAGCGUUAUCCGGAAUCAUUGGGUUUAAAGGGUCCGUAGGUGGACAAAUAAGUCAGAGGUGAAAUCCUGCAGCUCAACUGUAGAACUGCCUUUGAUACUGUUUGUCUUGAGUUAUUAUGAAGUGGUUAGAAUGUGUAGUGUAGCGGUGAAAUGCAUAGAUAUUACACAGAAUACCGAUUGCGAAGGCAGAUCACUAAUAAUUAACUGACACUGAGGGACGAAAGCGUGGGUAGCGAACAGGAUUAGAUACCCUGGUAGUCCACGCCGUAAACGAUGGUCACUAGCUGUUUGGACU
rnacentral:rRNA from 1 species